CGGGAAUCUUCCGCAAUGGACGAAAGUCUGACGGAGCAACGCCGCGUGAGUGAUGAAGGUUUUCGGAUCGUAAAACUCUGUUGUUAGGGAAGAACAAGUACGAGAGUAACUGCUCGUACCUUGACGGUACCUAACCAGAAAGCCACGGCUAACUACGUGCCAGCAGCCGCGGUAAUACGUAGGUGGCAAGCGUUGUCCGGAAUUAUUGGGCGUAAAGCGCGCGCAGGCGGUCCUUUAAGUCUGAUGUGAAAGCCCACGGCUCAACCGUGGAGGGUCAUUGGAAACUGGGGGACUUGAGUGCAGGAGAGAAGAGUGGAAUUCCACGUGUAGCGGUGAAAUGCGUAGAGAUGUGGAGGAACACCAGUGGCGAAGGCGACUCUUUGGCCUGUAACUGACGCUGAGGCGCGAAAGCGUGGGGAGCAAAC
rnacentral:rRNA from 1 species